UAAGACAGAGGUGCCGAGCGUUAGGCGGAAUCACUGGGCUUAAAGCGUGUGUAGGCGGGCCGUUAAGUACCUUGUGAAAUCCCACGGCUUAACCGUGGAACGGCUGGGUAUACUGGCGGUCUUGAGCCACUUAGGGGCUACCGGAACAAGCGGUGGAGCGGUGAAAUGCGUAGAUAUCGCUUGGAACGCCGACGGUGAAAACAGGUAGCUGGGAGUGUGCUGACGCUGAGACACGAAAGCCAGGGGAGCGAACGGGAUUAGAUACCCCGGUAGUCCUGGCCCUAAACGAUGUCCACUAGGUCGUGGCGGCUCUGACGCCGUCGCGGCCGAAGCAAAAGUGCUAAGUGGACCGCCUGGGAAGUACGGUCGCAAGGCUA
rnacentral:rRNA from 1 species